AUGUUAAUUCAACUUUAUGUAUUUUGGUCAAAUUGUUUAGCUGCUAAAGAGGAGACAGCUUUGAAGGUCCUGCCAACUCUGCUUCCCCCAUCCAUCUACAGGAGGGGAGGAAAGGUCUUCAGACCCACCACAGAGGAGGCCCUGAAGUCAUUUAUUGACAUGCAACUUGUUGGGACCAACAUGGUUGAAUAUUUAAACCAUGAGAUGACUGGAGCAUUGCUGCACAUUCUGUGCCUCAGUGAUGAGACAAGGGGGACAUCACAGACCUCUGCCAUUAUUCCAGGCCACGCCAUUGAGACUGAGUCUUUGUUGGAGGCGGUUGAUCUUUGCUUUAAAGCUUUUUUUGUUUUUGAUGUUCAGUACACCAAGCAGUGUCUCCCCACCUGGGAGUUUCUCCAGCAUGCUGUAUAUCAAAUUGAAGGAAAAGAGUCCUCCUCUGUAAAGUUUUUGAGGACAACAGUGGUUUCAGGCCCACAUGAUAUGUAGAUGAUUUUAAAAUGUAUUUUCUUGCUGUUCUUAAAACAACAUAUCUUAAUAAAUUAAAUUGUAAUCGCAUGAGAGUUCAAAUUAGUUGUUUAAUGACUUUUAAUGCCUGAAUAUUUGGACAGAUUUACAUUUGUUAUAAAGUCUGUGGGGAAGGGUGAAUGUCAGAGGUUGUGUGGGUGGGGGUUGGGAUGGGGGGGGGGGUAAAGAAUGUAUUCAAUAUUGUAUACAAACAAAGUAUUAAAGAAAUGUAUUGUUUUUAAAGAAAUAAUAUGUUUUAAAUUAAAUGAGAUUGAUAUCACAUAUACAUGGCCUCUCUGGUUUAUUGUAUUAGAGAGACAAUAAUUAUUUU
rnacentral:lncRNA from 1 species